CUGGCUUGAGAUUUGGGUCCUUAGGUUAUGUUUCUUACUGUUUUUACUGCUGUGAACUAAGACAUGAUCCUUGGAAUAAUGGGUGGUGCGGUUGAGACCGUGAAACGGUUUUCUGCCCAUCAGACCACUCAGAUCCCUACAAACAGCUUCAGCAGCCUGGGAUUUCUCUUUCUGACCAACCUGCUGCUUCACUGAUUGCCUCAGAUGACACAAAAGACUCAGAGGAGAAGUAUUAGGAGGCAUGUGUCUGGGCCUGAUGUAUUCCUACUGCUAUGGACAGGCUUAGAGAGAUCGUGGCAGCAGCAGGGGCCAGCAAGCAGCGAGCGCCUUCAGCUCUGGAGUGCAGAACGUGGAGAUGCCACCAGGAACUGAAACAGAAGAGUACUGGAAGAAACAUUUCAUUAUUAAUCAGGCAUAAUAUGCCGGUGGGGGAGAUUAUUAUUCCAGGUGUCUGGGAUGCUGAACAUGUAAAUACAAUACUACAUCGCUGCAGUUGAUGGCUAAGACAAUAUGAAGAUACAUUAAAGAUAAUGGAUUGAGAACAGCAAGGAAUAUGAGAUACAUGGAAGUUGUCUCUUGUGUGAGGAUGCUUCAUUUGAUCUCUGAAAGCAGGAGAAAAAGAAUAUAAUACUCCCACAGUUACUGAGAGGCUCUUCAAAUUCAGCCAACAUACGGAACUACGUAAGGAGAAGAUGACACUUGUAUACUGUGAAACAUGAAGGCUCUUGCUAUGUACAAUUAUGCUGUCUUCUCUGGCAACAUGACUGUGAAAAGAGGUAAAUAUCACUGCUUUCUGCCAGGCAACAGCUGUAAUAAUAACCACAUUGUGGCUCAGACAGGGAGUGCAGGCACAAGAGGCUUCCCCUCUUGAGGUCCUCUUAGGAGGAAGAAGGGAGCAUGAACACAGCCCACUACUUGGGGAAAACACAGGAGAAGGAAGGUGAAGUUAAUCAGUGAUGAAAGCAUAUGGGUAUGUGCAUGACUCCGUAUGUGUGUAUGGAAAUGGUAAUUAUCAUGGCUUCCAGACCAACACCCUUAGUGCAGUUGGAGUGAAUGGGAAUAAUGAACGCAUGACUUUUAUUUCAAGUAUACCCAAUCCACUGAUAAUGCCUGGUCCUAGUAAAAGGUCUGUGUUUUGCUCUUCUAUAUGCCAGGAAGUCAACGUGCAUUCAGCAGUGAUUGACAUAAUGUUUACUUUGGAUUUUUUGUAUGUUUUUUUUUCUUCCCCAGCAGCAAAAUUAUAAAUUUAUGUUCUUUUCACUCCUCUAAUGAAGCAACCAAACAAUUGGCUUGAUCUUGUUAGAAAAGGGGAGUCACAUAAGUAGCCAAGUUAGACAAAGUCCACUUGAGAUAUUUACUUGACUUCAGAGCUCCCCCAUGAGAAAUGUCCAUGCCAAGAGUUCAUCUCCUGGUAUGACAGAUGCUACGCCAUGCUGUCUUUUAUAUCCCUAGGAUUUGGGUCUGUAAACUUGUAUUUUCAAUGGAAAUAAAAUAUUUGGAGAGAAUGCUGCAGGGAUUAGGUUUUUGGCUAUUCUUCCACAUCUGCCCUUUGGAGCUGGGGAAAUAUUUGUGAGGAUAACUGCAGUAAAGACUGGGAAACAUUCAGAUGGUGCAGGGAAGGGUACUACAUAAAUAAACUGUAUAGAGAGAUGCACAAAUUGCAUUUAACAGCUGAGCCAAUGAAUCACCAUUGUUAGAAUACAUUUGAUUUUCUCUGUGCAUAGCAAUUAUAGGAGAUAGCUUGCAGGUGAAUGUAGAGAUGAUAGAUUCAGGUCUCUGCGCAACAAUGACAACUGAUAUAAUGAAGAUCUAAUGAGAACAAAAUUGAGAUUUAGAGUUACAGAUGGCAUUCCUUUCCAUCACUAUCUGAGAAUCAUUAUUUUCUUCAAGGAUCUGUAGUAU